UACGGGAAGGCAGCAGUGGGGAAUAUUGCACAAUGGGCGCAAGCCUGAUGCAGCCAUGCCGCGUGUAUGAAGAAGGCCUUCGGGUUGUAAAGUACUUUCAGUCGUGAGGAAGGUGUUAAGGUUAAUAACCUUAGCAAUUGACGUUAGCGACAGAAGAAGCACCGGCUAACUCCGUGCCAGCAGCCGCGGUAAUACGGAGGGUGCGAGCGUUAAUCGGAAUUACUGGGCGUAAAGGGCACGCAGGCGGUUAAUUAAGUUGGAUGUGAAAUCCCCGGGCUUAACCUGGGAAUGGCAUUCAAGACUGGUUAGCUAGAGUCUUGUAGAGGGGGUAGAAUUCCGAUGUGUAGCGGUGAAAUGCGUAGAGAUGUGGAGGAAUACCGGUGGCGAAGGCGGCCCCUGGGACAAAGACUGACGCUCAUGUGCGAAAGCGUGGGGAGCAAACAGGGAUUAGAUACC
rnacentral:rRNA from 1 species